rnacentral:sRNA from 1 species
UAUUUAUGUACGCCAUUUCGAUGUUCCAACGUUGUCCCUCGUCCUGUUCUUCAUAAGUAAUAUCAACACGUUCUAGCCCAACGGUCUUAAUUAAAAGACUGCACUUACUCUUGAAUAAACAGGUAACAAUUAUGUCUACAACUACAGGAACCGUUAAAUGGUUUAACGAAUCUAAAGGUUAUGGUUUUAUCAGUCCAGCUGACGGCGGCGAGGAUGUAUUCGUUCAUUUCCGCGCGAUCGUUGGUGACGGUUUUAAAACUUUAAUUGAAGGUCAGGCGGUAAGCUUUGAAGUUGAAAACGGGCCUAAAGGUCUGCAAGCCUCUGAAGUUCAGCCACAGUAAAAUAUUCUGUGAUUUAAAAACCCUGCCCGAUG